rnacentral:rRNA from 1 species
GAUGAACGCUGGCGGCGUGCCUAAUACAUGCAAGUCGAGCGAACGCACGAGGAGCUUGCUCUUCUGAUGUUAGCGGCGAACGGGUGAGUAACACGUGGAUAACCUACCUAUCAGAGGGGGAUAACAUCGGGAAACCGGUGCUAAAACCGGAUAAGACUUUGAACCGCAUGGUUUAAAAGGGAAAGACGGUCUUGGCUUCUCCUGUAGAUGGAUCCGCGCUGCAUUAGCUAGUUGGUAAGGUAACGGCUUACCAAGGCAACGAUGCAUAGCCGACCUGAGAGGGUGAUCGGCCACACUGGAACUGAGACACGGUCCAGACUCCUACGGGAGGCAGCAGUAGGGAAUCUUCCGCAAUGGACGAAAGCCUGACGGAGCAACGCCGCGUGAGUGAUGAAGGUCUUCGGAUCGUAAAACUCUGUUAUUAGAGAAGAACAAGUGUGAAAGUAACUGUGCGCAUCUUGACGGUACCUAAUCAGAAAGCCACGGCUAACUACGUG